rnacentral:lncRNA from 1 species
UGUCCUUGGAGUGUGUGUCCUGCAAGGCACAGGCCGUGUACGAAGUGAGCCGCAGCUCCUACGUGUACCUGGAGGGCCGCUGCCUCAAUUGCAGCAGCGGCUCCAAGCGAGGGCGGUGGGCUGCACGUACGUUCAGCAACAAGACACUGGUGCUGGAUGAGACCACCACAUCCACGGGCAGCGCAGGCAUGUGACUGGUGCUGCGGCGGGGCGUGCUGCGGGACGGCGAGGGAUACACCUUCACGCUGACGGUGCUGGGCCGCUCUGGCGAGGAG